rnacentral:rRNA from 1 species
UACGGAGGGAGCUAGCGUUGUUCGGAAUUACUGGGCGUAAAGCGCACGUAGGCGGCUUUGUAAGUUAGGGGUGAAAGCCCGGAGCUCAACUCCGGAAUUGCCUUUAAGACUGCAUCGCUUGAAUCCGGGAGAGGUGAGUGGAAUUCCCGGUGUAGCGGUGAAAUGCGCAGAUAUCGGGAGGAACACCUAUGGCGAAGGCAGCUCGCUGGGACGUUACUGACGCUGAGACGCGAAAGCGUGGGGAGCAAACAGG